UGGUGGAGUGAUUUGUCUGGUUAAUUCCGAUAACGAACGAGACCUUAACCUGCUAACUAGUUUAUCUAUUACAUAGAUACUAACUUCUUAGAGGGACUAUGUGUCGAAAAGCACAUGGAAGUUUGAGGCAAUAACA
rnacentral:rRNA from 1 species